rnacentral:rRNA from 1 species
UGUACUACUCAGAGUUUGAUCAUGGCUCAGGACGAACGCUGGCGGCGUGCUUAACACAUGCAAGUCGAACGAUGAAGCCUUCGGGUGGAUUAGUGGCGAACAGGUGAGUAACACGUGGGAAAUCUGCCCUGCACUCUGGGACAAGCCUUGGAAACGAGGUCUAAUACCGGAUAUGACCUUCCUCCGCAUGGGGGUUGGUGGAAAGCUCCGGCGGUGCAGGAUGAUCCCGCGGCCUAUCAGCUUGUUGGUGGGGUAAUGGCCUACCAAGGCGACGACGGGUAGCCGGCUUGAGAGGGCGACCGGCCACACUGGGACUGAGACACGGCCCAGACUCCUACGGGAGGCAGCAGUGGGGAAUAUUGCACAAUGGGCGAAAGCCUGAUGCAGCGACGCCGCGUGAGGGAUGACGGCCUUCGGGUUGUAAACCUCUUUCAGCAGGGAAGAAGCGCAAGUGACGGUACCUGCAGAAGAAGCACCGGCUAACUACGUGCCAGCAGCCGCGGUAAU